rnacentral:rRNA from 1 species
GCCCCAGUAACGGCGAGUGAAGCGGCAACAGCUCAAAUUUGAAAUCUGGCUCUCGGGCCCGAGUUGUAAUUUGUAGAGGAUGCUUUUGGUGAGGUGCCUUCCGAGUUCCCUGGAACGGGACGCCAUAGAGGGUGAGAGCCCCGUCUGGUUGGACACCGAUCCUCUGUAAAGCUCCUUCGACGAGUCGAGUAGUUUGGGAAUGCUGCUCUAAAUGGGAGGUAUAUGUCUUCUAAAGCUAAAUACCGGCCAGAGACCGAUAGCGCACAAGUAGAGUGAUCGAAAGAUGAAAAGAACUUUGAAAAGAGAGUUAAACAGUACGUGAAAUUGUUGAAAGGGAAGCGCUUGUGACCAGACUUGGGCUUGGUUGAUCAUCCGGGGUUCUCCCCGGUGCACUCUUCCGGCCCAGGCCAGCAUCAGUUCGCCCUGGGGGACAAAGGCUUCGGGAAUGUGGCUCUCUCCGGGGAGUGUUAUAGCCCGUUGCGUAAUACCCUGUGGCGGACUGAGGUUCGCGCAUUCGCAAGGAUGCUGGCGUAAUGGUCAUCAGUGACCCGUCUUGAAACACGGACCAAGGAGUCGUCUUCGUAUGCGAGUGUUCGGGUGUCAAACCCCUACGCGAAAUGAAAGUGAACGCAGGUGAGAGCUUCGGCGCAUCAUCGACCGAUCCUGAUGUUAUCGGAUGGAUUUGAGUAAGAGCAUACGGGGCCGGACCCGAAAGAAGGUGAACUAUGCCUGUGUAGGGUGAAGCCAGAGGAAACUCUGGUGGAGGCUCGCAGCGGUUCUGACGUGCAAAUCGAUCGUCAAACAUGGGCAUGGGGGCGAAAGACUAAUCGAACCUUCUAGUAGCUGGUUUCCGCCGAAGUUUCCCUCAGAUAGCAGUGUUGAACUCAGUUUUAUGAGGUAAAGCGAAUGAUUA